rnacentral:snRNA from 1 species
AUUGUUUCUCAGCCUCUCGGCUAAAAAAGAACACAACAUCUGUUCUUUUCAGUUUAGUAUCUGAUCUGAUGCAUCCUCUAACUGAGGAUAACAUUAAAUGGCACUUUGGAGCAGAAAGAUGGAAUACGAGCUUACUCUCUUCACUCUAUGCAACAACCUGGUGUUUGUUGUACCUCCAGAAAUGGUACACAAAAA